rnacentral:rRNA from 1 species
CCCUUAGGUGUUCUGGGCUGCACGCGCGCUACACUGAAGCUAUCAACACGUUUUCCCUCCCUGAGAAGGGCGGGUAACCUUUUGAAUCAGCUUCGUGGUAGGGAUCGGGGCUUGCAAUUGUUCCCCGUGAACCAGGAAUUCCUAGUAGACGCGAGUCAUAAGCUCGCAUCGAUUAAGUCCCUGCCCUUUGUACACACCGCCCGUCGCUACUACCGAUUGAACGUUUUAGUGAGGCAUUUGGACCGACGCAUCUCAGUUUAACCGCUGGUUUGUGUUGGAAAGACUUCCAAACUUGAGCGUUUAGAGGAAGUAAAAGUCGUAACA